CAAGUCGAGCGGCAGCGGGAAGUAGUUUACUACUUCGCCGGCGAGCGGCGGACGGGUGAGUAAUGUCUGGGAAACUGCCUGAUGGAGGGGGAUAACUACUGGAAACGGUAGCUAAUACCGCAUAACGUCUUCGGACCAAAGUGGGGGACCUUCGGGCCUCACGCCAUCGGAUGUGCCCAGAUGGGAUUAGCUAGUAGGUGGGGUAAUGGCUCACCUAGGCGACGAUCCCUAGCUGGUCUGAGAGGAUGACCAGCCACACUGGAACUGAGACACGGUCCAGACUCCUACGGGAGGCAGCAGUGGGGAAUAUUGCACAAUGGGCGCAAGCCUGAUGCAGCCAUGCCGCGUGUGUGAAGAAGGCCUUCGGGUUGUAAAGCACUUUCAGCGAGGAGGAAGGCCAAUAACUUAAU
rnacentral:rRNA from 1 species